GCGGGGCCGGCGCACGUGCGGUCGGGCGCGGUCGGACUGCGCCGGUUCGGCCCAAAGUGGCCGGGCCGGUCCGGUUUACCCCCUUUUUUUUCUUUUUGUGUUUUCUUUUUCGGCUUUUCUUAUUUCUUUGAUAUCUUUUGAGUUUGAACUCCAAAUUGGUCCAAAAAAAUCCCAGAAAAUUUGUAAAAUCAUGUCCUACCAUGAUACAACUUUUGGGAGUAGCUUGCCCUAUAAAUGCCUUUAGGACUAUAUAUCUAUUUGAAUAUAGUACUUUUUCAACUCCAAAUAAUUAACCAAAAAUUAUGGGAUAGCUUAUAUAUGCAAUAAACCCCUUUUAUACUUAAACCUUCAUGGUUCGAAGAUCCAAAGCUCAAAUGGGUGUAAACCCUAGGGUUUAAAAUGAAACAAAAAUCUUUCCAAAGCCCUUUUGAGAUUCAAAUUUGAAUUCAAAUAUGCAAUUGUGGCAUGAUGCUUAUGGAUGUAAUACUCAUGUAAAAGUUUGAAAUUUUUGGGAUGUUACACGGGGU
rnacentral:lncRNA from 1 species